rnacentral:rRNA from 1 species
UACGUAGGGGCCUAGCGUUGUCCGGAUUUAUUGGGCGUAAAGAGCUCGUAGGCGGCUUGUCGCGUCGUCCGUGAAAACCCACAGCUCAACUGUGGGCUUGCGGUCGAUACGGGCAGGCUAGAGUUCGGUAGGGGAGACUGGAAUUCCUGGUGUAGCGGUGAAAUGCGCAGAUAUCAGGAGGAACACCGGUGGCGAAGGCGGGUCUCUGGGCCGAUACUGACGCUGAGGAGCGAAAGCGUGGGGAGCGAACAGG